CCAAAUUUGACAUAUACCUCUUUUGUGGCCUACCCGUGUGAGCAUUCGAAACUGUUUUGAACAACCUUUGAGCCUUAACUUUCUUUGAAAUAAUCUUGAUGAACCCUAAACCUUAGUUGACCCACUACCUAUAAUCCUUUUGAUUUGUGGUUUAGUGAAUAGCCAACUUAGACUAAGAGCCUAAGUUGGGGGUGUGGUAAAAACGAAAAGAAGAAGUCAAGAAGUGCAAGAAAAG
rnacentral:lncRNA from 1 species